CAGAUGAUAGGCAGGGGCCAAGGGUCCUCUCUGGUCAAUGGCUGGCCUCCUUUUUUACCUCUUAAGAGGUUUGAAGAUAGUGGUAUCUGUGUAACUUCAUGGUAAGAAGAUAGAGCUCCGUUCUCCCACCAUGGUAACCCUAAGGCAAGGAAAGGGAGAACCAGGCAGGAGUCCCCAAACCCCAGUGUGGUAUAAGCUGACAUUUAGGAAGAACACAGACAACUGUCUCCGCUGACUGAAGGCCAAACAGAUACCCAUGGGCCAGGCUGGAAUGCAGUGGUGUGAUCUCAGCUCAUUGCAAACACCACCUCCUGCA